rnacentral:rRNA from 1 species
CCUUGGUCGCCUGCAGCCGCGCCCGUCACUGCCUACCUCGCCCAGGUCGGGCGCUGAUCGCGCCCGGUGCCCGCCUAACCACGCCGGCCUGAGCUCCCGUGUCUGCAGCGCCGUCGCCGCUGUCGUUUGCCCCGCAUGCCCCAGCCCUCUGCCCUGCUCCUGCUCCUUGUCGCUCUUCCCCAACCGCGCCCGUGCCUCCUCUGGUCGGCGCCGUGACCGCCGGCGCACCUCUGUGUGCGCUCGUGCGUGUGCACGUCGGUCGCUGGUGGUUGGCUAAAGCCACUGUCAUGUGCCCCCCUCACUAAUUAGCCUGCUUAGGUUAACUAAAAAUUAUUUAAGUUAAUCAAAACCCAUUGAGUCACUGACAACAUGGCCCCACUUAGUAGUUAUUCUAAAUAGAUUAAAUAAACACCGUUUAUAUUAACUCUAAUAAACACCGACUCAAUGACAGCUGGGCCCCAUCUAAACACUAUUCACCUUUUGACUAGUCAAAUGUUGACUGGGUCAACUCUGCUGACUGGACCACUCCUGGACCCCACUAGUCAUACACUCAGGCUAGUAUAGAGCUACUCCCUCCGUCCGCCAAAGAGUGAACGUCUGGCUCGAGUAAUUUUCCCAAAAUAAGUGAACGUCUGGCUCCGCAGCGAUCCACCGAGGUAAUUUUACGUUCACCCCCUCGGUCUACGCCUCGAGGCACCCGCAGCGGUCCACCACCCAAUCCACUCGUUCUCACCCCUGACGACCCAAUCCACUCGUCCUCUCCCCCAAAAUUUCCCCAAUCUUCCUCCUCUCCCCCAACGUUUCUUCUCCCGGAUCCAAUCCCAGUUCGCUGGGAGUCAAUCCUCCAAUCCAAGCCAGUCAUUGGUCAUCGAGAGAGUAAUGGCGGCCAGUCCAUAUAAACUCCCAGUACGGUGUGCAUCUCACUGGAGCCAUGGCGGGCGGCGGAGCGGGCGGAGGAGCGGAAGCCGGCGAUGGCCAGCGAGUCGAGGCCGUCGCGGCGGCCGGCGGCGCAACACGCGGCCGCGAAAGAUCUGGUUCUGGAGGCCCUCACCGUGCUCGUGCAGUCAAGUUUCGACCGCGUUCGCCCUCGUACAUCCGUCGGCGGCGGCAAUUCGGUUGCGGCGCCAAGAUCCUUGACCUGGACGAGGACAUAGGGGCUGAUGGUGAAGCGGGUGUUGGCCGUGGAGGCGCUGUACCCGGCACUGCAGCGGGUCAUGCGGCUAACCAGGUCGGCGCGGCAGCUGGUGCUGGGCAAGACAUCGCGUCUGUAGGUGUUGGGCAAGACGGCACGGCAGCAUCAGUGCAUCCUGGGGCUGACCAUGACGCAGCAGCCGCAGGUGCUGGGGGCGUUGAGGAGAAGCUACACAAGCACUAGUAGAUCCGUAAGUUGGCUGGAUGCAGUCUUCAAUUUGCUUGGCUUUUAGUUUGGCUGGAUGUAGUAAGUAUGGCUGCAUAUUUUUAUGUUCUGCAAGUAUGAAAAUCGAUUCAUACUAUUGGAGUAUGGCAGAUAUUAUUACUAUGGAUGAUCUAAAUUUAUGGUGAUUAGUGUCGUGGUCUCUAAAAAUAAUUUUCGGUUAUGGAUGAUCCAUUGUUAUGGUGAUUAGUGUCCUGGUCUCUAAAGAUAAUUUUCAGUUAUGUAUGAUCUCUUGUUACAACAGUGAUUUUAGGUUGGAUAAAUGGUGCUAUGUUGAUGAAUAAACAAUCAAGUCCUGGUCUCUAAAAUCAUGCUAUCAUACAGAGAUUGUAGUGUUAUUGUAACAACAUUUAUGAUGAUCUCUUGUACCAGAUGAUUUGAUCAACUGAUUUCAUAUGAAAAUUACUCUGGCCAUGGAUACUAGAUGACGGAAAAUCUCGGGAACCAUACUGAGGUCAACUACAAUCCUUUUGCGCCCACAGUUUUUCGGCUUCCUUGAUCUUACAUCAACGGGUACGCCUUGUCGAUGGCACUCCUUCACUCUCCUCCAAACACGUCUGACCUUCUGCACCGAAACAUGGAACAUGUUUGCAACUUCUCUGGUUGUGGUCUUCUUUAAUUUCCGAUUGACACUUCUUGCUAGCAACUCUUCAUAAAUACCAGUCCUUUGCAAAUCUGUUAAAUUCUUGUAUUUGUCUUCAUGAUGAACUUGCUCAUUAUCUUGUUGCUCUUGCUCCACAUACAUGUCUUCUUCUGGUGCUGAAUCAUACAUGGCUUCAUCUGCUGAAUCAUCAAGCUCUUCUUCCUCAAACUGAAUCUCUAUAUCGCCUGCAUACACACCAUAGUCUUCCUCGUCAACUUGAAGGUUAUUUAGAGCUUCAUCCAUUGCUUGCACUUCCUCUUCCAUGCUCUGGAAAACACCGCCUUGUUCUUCAAGUUCAUGGUCUACAAGGUGAGGUUAUGUUCUCUUCUCCAUGGGCAACAUUGGCCUCAUGUUCCUCUUCUCCAUGGGCAAUGUCGGGCUCAUGUUCAUCUUCUACAUGAAGACCGACAUGGGGUUCUUCAUGCAAGGCAGCCUCAAGUUCGUCCUCUAUGGCGAAGAAGAAUAAUCAGCAGGUGCACAUGAACAAAGAGAACAAAGGAGUAGACGAUCAAGAUGUACCUGGGCUCAUGUUCAGAUCGAUUUGACGACCAACCUGGAGCAGUUCUUCAUGCAAGGCAACCUCAAGUUCGUCCUCUAUGGCAAAGAAGAAUCAUCAGCAUGUGCACAUGAACAAGGAGAACAAAUGAAAAGAUGAUCAAGAUGUACCUGGGUUCAGGUUCAAAUCGAUUUGAUGACCAACCUGGAGCAAUUCUUCAUGCAAGGGAGGCACAUGUUCAACUUCUCCCUCUCCUGGUGCUAUGUUCAAGUCAAUGGCCAUGGCCUCUCUAUGUGUUGUUCUACUUGGCGCUAGUUUGCUGCUUGUUCUACUUGGUGCUACUGUGCUAGCUUUAUAGCUGGUUGUUCUACUUGAAAUCUGGCUCAUAGCUCAAUUCUGUAAUUUGCCGCUUCUAAUUCUGUAAUCUGGCGCCAUAUUGUACUAGUACUCAGCUACUAGUUGUGGAUGGUGGGAAGUGUUGUGGCGGGAACAAUUCUCUGUUGGCAAAGCUGUAUUUACUUCUCCCUUCUCAUUUAUUAUCAACGGGAAUCGAAGCAUUGGUACAGCUGUUGGCACCUUAAUUGAGUGGUGGGAGGGCUUUUUUGCAAAAUCCUUAAUUUGUCUUAGAAUACCCAGACGU